rnacentral:misc_RNA from 1 species
GAUGAAGAACGUAGUGAAAUGCGAUAAUUAAUGUGAAUUGCGGAAUUCAGUGAAUCAUCGAGUCUUUGAACGCACAUUGCGCCCCCUGGUAUUCCGGGGGGCAUGCCUGUCCGAGCGUCAUUGCUGCCCUCAAGCACGGCUUGUGUGUUGGGCUUCCGUCCCUGGCAACGGGGACGGGCCCAAAAGGCAGUGGCGGCACCAUGUCUGGUCCUCGAGCGUAUGGGGCUUUGUCACCCGCUCCCGUAGGUCCAGCUGGCAGCUAGCCUCGCAACCAAUCUUUUUAACCAGGUUGACCUCGGAUCAGGUAGGGAUACCCGCUGAACUUAAGCAUAUCAAUAAGCGGAGGA